rnacentral:rRNA from 1 species
GAGUUUGAUUCUGGCUCAGGAUGAACGCUAGCGAUAGGCUUAACACAUGCAAGUCGAGGGGCAGCGAGGGUAGCAAUACCUGUCGGCGACCGGCGCACGGGUGAGUAACGCGUAUGUAACCUGCCCGCAACAGGGGGAUAACCCGGCGAAAGUCGGACUAAUACCGCAUAAAACAGGGGUCCCGCAUGGGAAUAUUUGUUAAAGAUUUAUCGGUUGCGGAUGGGCAUGCGUACCAUUAGGUAGUUGGUGAGGUAACGGCUCACCAAGCCUUCGAUGGUUAGGGGUUCUGAGAGGAAGGUCCCCCACACUGGUACUGAGACACGGACCAGACUCCUACGGGAGGCAGCAGUGAGGAAUAUUGGUCAAUGGGCGGGAGCCUGAACCAGCCAAGUCGCGUGAAGGAUGACUGCCCUAUGGGUUGUAAACUUCUUUUACAAGGGAAUAAAAUGAGAUACGUGUAUUUUAUUGCAUGACCUNGA